GGAGGAGAGAGUUAAGCUAACGGGCCCUGGGCCUGCUCCGGCCGGGGGCCGCACCCCCCCAAGUCCCCCGCCCCCUGGCCUCCCUCCAGCCUGGGCUCCAGUUACAGUGCCUGGGGAGGAGAGGGGAGGGAAAGGGAGGGGAAGAGAAGGAGGAGGAGGAGGAGGGGGCGGUGCAUCCAGCCCAGGGGGUCUUCGGCAGAGCCUUCGGGACCCCUGAGCGCAGACAGCCUCGGAUCGAAUACGGGUCUGUUGGGAACCGGGGAGCCCGAUGAAGAAGAGGGCACUUUCCGCAGUUCCAUCCGCCGCCUCUCCAGCAGAAGGCGUUAGGAGCCUGAGAUGAAGUCGCCGAGGCUGACCAGGUUUCCCAGGACUCUGCCCACGGUCCCACCCCCACGGUGUCCCUAGCUCCUCCAAACCUGUAAUAAAGGCCAGUCUUCUUCCGCGCGCAGUCCGUGUCUCUGUCCCACAGCCGGUCCGGCCGCCCGAGGCCCCGAAAGGCUGACGCUCCCUCUCUCCCCCCACUAGGAGGCGCCCCCGCCCACGGGCUCCGCAGACACUCGAGGCGGGGAUUGGGCAUGCGCCCCCCCCCCCCCCCCCCCCCCCACGGAGCCCCCAUUGGCUGCAGUGUCCGCCUCCGCCCUUUCCACCGCCCCCAACCCGGAGGUCCCUCUCCAGUCCCCCCCCUUCCCGGUCUGACCCCCCUCCCCCAGUCAGAUCUGGGCUCCCUCUGCAGCUGCUGCCUCUGCCUUCCGCGCCCCCGGCCCAGCCAUGGUGACCCCCGAGCCCAUCACACAGGGUGAGAGGGAGCGAGGCUCUACCAAGCCCGCAGCUACAGGGGACCCCAGCCGGGAGGAUGGAGGAAGGGGGGACCCCGUCAAGGGGAAGAAGGGACGUGGACUCCUGCCUGAUCUAGUGGCUAGUGGGGAGCAGGGAAGAGGAAGGGGGCCCCGUUAUGAAACAGCUGAAGAAGCAGGAAUCCCAUUCUCGGAGGUCUGGGGAGGGCACCUGGGGAAGUCUAGAGGAGGAGGAGAGUGAAGGGGACCCCAACUGGGGGCUGGGGGGAAGGGGACCCCGUUGGGCACGGAGAUAGAGGGGUAGGGGAACUCUGGUCUGAGGGGAUGGAGAGAGCCAGGACCCUGAUCUGGGUCCUGGUGCUGGAGGGAGACGGAACCUGGGCUGGAGGGACUGAGGAUCGAACCUGCCUUUGGAGGAUGACAGGUAAAAGACUCCUCCCGGGGCUGAGAGGGAGCCCUCAAGGAAGUGGGCCAGGGGAGAGCUUCUGGCAUGCGGGGAGAUCUUCCCCGGGAGGGGGGAGGCAGGGAAAGGGGAUGUCACUGGCCCUGGAUCUUGUAAACUGGAUAAAUGUUCGCUGAAUGAGUGAGUGACUGAUCUGAGCCGUAGCUAUGGCAACUAGAUGGUCCAGCCCCUGGGGAAGUGCAGCGGGAAGGUGUUUUCUGCGAGGAGGGCCCGAGAUGCGCUAGGGCAUGUCCGGCGGAAGUGUGAUUGUUUAUCGGGGUGCGGGGGGAGACCUCCGGGCUUGCACAUAGGCAGGGGCCGGACCUGAGGGAGAACAUCCGUCCCUGUGGAUGGCCGCGUUUCUCGGGCUCUCCAGGGUUCUUGACCCGGGGCGAGGGUGGGUGGGGCCGGGGAGGGAGGGGGAGGGAGGUGGGAUGAGGUAUUACAGUUGGUCAUUUCCACAGACUAAAGGACCUCUGUUGGGCAAAUACACCUUCGAGACUGGGGGGGGAGGGGAGCCCGAGCAGAGGGAGGGGGAGCGACAGCCAGAUGCGGGGAAAGAGCGAGGCCGGGGCGGGGGGGGGGGAGGGGCAGGCUGCGGGGAUUGCGUGCCUGCAGGGGCGGUAAGCCGCAGUGACCCCACCCAGGGAGGGGAGGGGAGGGACCGGAGGGGAACCCUCCCUCUGCUGGCCUUGGGGGUGGGGAGGGCCCUUCCCCGGGUGUGUCCCCUUGGUCACCUGGGGUCGCAGUGUUUGAAUACGGGCCCUCUCGCUGCCUCUCAAGUAUAUGGUGUCAGCCUCACCAUCCCCCACCCCCCGCAACCCGCAGCUUUCCCGUCCCCGCGGAGACCCAAGUUGGCCGCAGCCUCCCGGACCUGGGAUGCUCGGAUGCUCUCGGUGGAGGGGCGGGGCGGGGCGAGGAGAGCCGGGGGAGAAAGCCCUCGCACCUUUUCUCCGCACAGGAAAAGGGGAGGAUGUGGGGAGAGGGGCAGUUAAGGGUCUUGGGGGGGGGAGAGGCGGUGUUAUAGCUUCGGAGAGUGAAGUUGCACGGGAAGAGGCUUUGAGGCGGGAGGAGCCGGGGGAGAGGGGCUCUGGGGGGAGAAGGGGCUGCAGAGGAGCAGUGGGGGUUGAGGGAAGGAGCGAAGAGGAGUUUCUGGGGGGGGGGGUUAGGCUCUGUAGGGGAGAAGGUUCUGGGCCAGGAGGAGCCGGGGAGCUGUGGUGUGCGUGUGCUGGGGGUGGGGUGGGGGUUGGCGGGCAGGCGCAUCUUCUCCAGACAUCUGUCUGGCAGGAAGCCAGAGCCGGCGAUUUCCCGGAGAUGCUGCCGUGUUCCGAUCGAUGACCAAUGGGCCGACAAAGAGCUCCCCCCAACGGAUCCCAGGCCAGCCUCCUCUGAGGGGAAUCUCAGGGCUCGGGAGAUCCACGGGGACGGAGGAAGCCACAUGUUCUGUCUUGCAGUCACUGAGAAAAAACGCGGGUCUUCGAGAGGAAGGGCGCGGGAGGGGCAAAGGGGCCCAGCCAUUGAGGCUCUGUGGAGAGUCUGGGGGCUUUAGAGCCGGCGCUGACCGAUAGCCUUCCCCGCACUCCUUCCACCCGAGUCUGGAAAGGCAAAGGUUAGAGGCCUCCUAGCUUGGGGUAAGCCCAAUCGAAGAUUCUUGGGGUUGAAAAGAAUAAGGGGGUGCUUGACCACAUUGCCUCCUCCCCCCACGACCCUCCCCCUCUCCUUAUCCUCCCUUCCCCCAUCACACUCCCUCCUUUCAAGGUGCCCCAGUGCCCAAGCAACCCCCUUCCCUAGCUUCCCCGGGCCUGUGGAAUGGCCAUCCCUUCUUGCUCCACCCUGGGUGCAGCUCCCCCUGAGGGGCCCCUUCCUCCCACCCCCCUGUGUUUUGGGGGUGGGGCAUCAGGGAGGCGGGGGGAAAGAGACAGAGACAGAGACAGACAGACAGACACACACACACAGAGGGGGAGAGAGAGAAAGAGAGAGACAGAGACAGACAGGCACAGAGACAGACAGAUACAAAGAGAGACAGAGACAGACAGGCACAGAGAGAGACACACAGAGAGAGACAGAGAUACAGAGAUAGAGAUGCCUUCAGUACCAAAAAUUGAUCCUCAAGCCUGUAUCCUACACCUGGGAAUUUGAGAAAAUGAGCUCAUAAAACUUUUCAAAAACCUAUGGGUUCUUACCAAAUUUAAAUCUGAGGGCUCAAUGGACUUGGGAAAAGGUUCCUUUCCCAACUCAUGGGAAGCCCUCCCGACUCCUUGGGUUUUCUAAGGAUCCUGAGGAGGACAUGUGUCAGACCCCUCUCCCUCCGAGGUAGUAGAAGCUCAGGGAACCCUCAACUGAGGAAAGAGGCGGAAUUCCAAAACCAACAGUCAGAUCCAGGGAGCCACCUGGGGGCUUACAGGAGGAAACGAGUGUAGUGGUUAGGGUACCAGAGAUCUGAAGCAGAAAACUUGGGUUGGAAUCCUCCCUUACAAGACCCUGGGAAGUUCAAUGUUAAUAUCUGUUUUCUUUAUCUAUGAAAUGGGAAUAACUUGGCAAAUCCUAAAGCAUUAUAUGAAUGUGACUAGACAGAAGAUAAAGGUGGAAGCUGGAAAGACUUCCCAGAGAAGAGAUUUUAAACCGAGUCUAGAAAGGCGAAACAAAGGAAAUUAGGUAUAAGUGUGAGAAAGUGGGACAGAUUGACUGAAAACAUGCCUGCCAAUCAUUCAUGCUCUGAAAGAAAUCCUGAGGUAAUUAAUCAACCCCCAAGUAUUUAUUAAGCAUUUACUAUGUGGUAGGAACUUUGAUAGAUACUGGGGACACAAAGACAAAAAUGAACCAAUCCCUAUUUUUAAGGAAAUUGCAUUCUAUCAGGGAAGAGAAUUUGAUAGACAGAUACAUAGAUGAUAGGCAGAGAGAUAGAUAGAUACAUGGAUAUAUAGAUGGAUAGAUGGGUAGGUAGAUGGAUAGAUAGAUAGAGGGGUAGGUAGGUAGAUAGAAAAAUAAAUAAAUGGAUGGAUAGAUGAAUAAUUGGGUAGGUAGAUGAGUGGAUGGAUAGAAAGAUAGAUAGAUGACUGAAUUGAUAAAUGGGUAGGUAGGUACUUGGACGGAUGGAUGGAUGAAUGACAAACUGAGAUAGGUACUGAGAUAGAUAGGAAAAAA
rnacentral:lncRNA from 1 species